rnacentral:rRNA from 1 species
GUGGGGAAUCUUCCACAAUGGACGAAAGUCUGAUGGAGCAACGCCGCGUGAGUGAAGAAGGGUUUCGGCUCGUAAAGCUCUUUCGUUAGGGACGAACGUGCUCUUUGUGAAUAAUGAGGAGUAAUGACGGUACCUAAAUAAGAAGCCACGGCUAACUACGUGCCAGCAGCCGCGGUAAUACGUAGGUGGCAAGCGUUGUCCGGAAUUAUUGGGCGUAAAGCGCGCGCAGGCGGGAUAUCAAGUCUGUCUUAAAAGUGCGAGGCUCAACCUCGUGAGGGGACAGAAACUGGUAUUCUUGAGUGUCGGAGAGGAAAGUGGAAUUCCAAGUGUAGCGGUGAAAUGCGUAGAGAUUUGGAAGAACACCAGUGGCGAAGGCGACUUUCUGGACGAUGUCUGACGCUGAGGCGCGAAAGCUAGGGGAGCGAACGGGAUUAGAAACCCGGGUAGUCC